CUUUAUGUAGUGUUGUUGUCUUAGGUCUCUCUUCAUGUAGUGUUGUUGUCUUAGGUCUCUCUUCAUGUAGUGUUGUUGUCUUAGGUCUCUCUUUAUGUAGUGUUGUUGUCUUAGGUCUCUCUUUAUGUAGUGUUGUUGUCUUAGGUCUCUCUUUAUGUAGUGUUGUUGUCUUAGGUCUCUCUUUAUGUAGUGUUGUUGUCUUAGGUCUCUCUUUAUGUAGUGGUGUUGUCUUAGGUCUCUCUUUAUGUAGUGUUGUUGUCUUAGGUCUCUCUUUAUGUAGUGUUGUUGUCAUAAGUCGCUAUGUAGUGUUGUUGUCUUAGGUCUCUCUUUAUGUAGUGGUGUUGUCUUAGGUCUCUCUUUAUGUAGUGUUGUUGUCUU